GCGCCCGUAGCUCAAUUGGAUAGAGCGUUGGUCUACGGAACCAAAGGUUGCAGGUUCGAGCCCUGCCGGGCGCACCA
rnacentral:tRNA from 1 species